GCCGGGAUGGCGAAAUUGGUAGACGCCGGGGACUUAAAAUCCCCUACUCUAACGAGUGUGCGGGUUCGAUUCCCGCUCCCGGCACCA
rnacentral:tRNA from 1 species